AUGCACGCUGGCGGCGUGCCUAAUACAUGCAAGUCGAGCGAACAGACGAGGAGCUUGCUCCUCUGACGUUAGCGGCGGACGGGUGAGUAACACGUGGAUAACCUACCUAUAAGACUGGGAUAACUUCGGGAAACCGGAGCUAAUACCGGAUAAUAUAUUGAACCGCAUGGUUCCAUAGUGAAAGACGGUUUUGCUGUCACUUAUAGAUGGAUCCGCGCCGCAUUAGCUAGUUGGUAAGGAAACGGCUUACCAAGGCGACGAUGCGUAGCCGACCUGAGAGGGUGAUCGGCCACACUGGAACUGAGACACGGUCCAGACUCCUACGGGAGGCAGCAGUAGGGAAUCUUCCGCAAUGGGCGAAAGCCUGACGGAGCAACGCCGCGUGAGUGAUGAAGGUCUUCGGAUCGUAAAACUCUGUUAUUAGGGAAGAACAAAUGUGUAAGUAACUAUGCACGUCUUGACGGUACCUAAUCAGAAAGCCACGGCUAACUACGUG
rnacentral:rRNA from 1 species